rnacentral:rRNA from 1 species
ACGGGAGGCAGCAGUGAGGAAUAUUGGUCAAUGGGCGGAAGCCUGAACCAGCCAAGUCGCGUGAAGGAUGAAGGUAUUAUGUAUUGUAAACUUCUUUAGACGUAGAGAAAUAAGGUGCUCGUGAGCACUGAUGCUAGUAUACGUAGAAUAAGGAUCGGCUAACUCCGUGCCAGCAGCCGCGGUAAUACGGAGGAUGCGAGCGUUAUCCGGAUUUAUUGGGUUUAAAGGGUGCGUAGGCGGAUUGUUAAGUCAGUGGUAAAAGCGUGUGGCUCAACCAUACCAAGCCAUUGAUACUGGCGAUCUUGAGUGUAAACGAGGUAGGCGGAAUAUGACGUGUAGCGGUGAAAUGCUUAGAUAUGUCAUAGAACCCCGAUUGCGAAGGCAGCUUACCAGCAUACAACUGACGCUGAGGCACGAAAGCGUGGGUAUCAAACAGGAUUAGAUACCCUGGUA